rnacentral:lncRNA from 1 species
UAUAUCAUAAUACAUUAAUAUGUUAUGUUAAAUAAUUUAAUAUUAUGUUAUAUUACCAAAUAUUAAUUUACUCUAAUAAUUAUAUUACUAUUAUGCUAUAUUAACAUAAUAUUAUUUUAUAUUACAAUAAUAUUAUACUAUAUCUUAUAUUUAUGUAUUAAUUUAUGUUAUGUUUUAUUAUGUUAUGUUGUAUAAUACUAUGCAAUGUCCUUUAUGGUAAUUUUGUCAUACAAAAGUACUUUCUCAGUUUGUUUAC